GACGAACGCUGGCGGCGUGCUUAAUACAUGCAAGUCGAACGGUGAAGGGAUCAGCUUGCUGGUCUUGGAUGAGUGGCGAACGGGUGAGUAACACGUGAGUAACCUGCCUCCUUCUCCUGGAUAACCGCAUGAAAGCGUGGCUAAUACGGGAUAUUCUGGUUCUGUCGCAUGAUGGGUCUGGGAAAGAUAUUGUUUCGGUGGGGGAUGGGCUCGCGGCCUAUCAGCUUGUUGGUGGGGUGAUAGCCUACCAAGGCGGUGACGGGUAGCCGGCCUGGGGGGGUGGAACAUCACACUGGGACUGCGACACGGCCCAGACUGGUAGGGGGGGCAGCAGUGGGGACUACAACGGGAGGAGCGCUAGCGUGAUGCAGCGACGCCGCUGAAGAGAGGGUUGGCAUCGGGUUGUAAUCCUCUUUGGCAAGAGAAGCAGGCCUGGUAAUUGUGGGUGGGUUGACGGUAGCUGGAUAAGAAGCGCCGGCUAACUACGUG
rnacentral:rRNA from 1 species